UGUCACUUGAUGUUGUUCGUGUGAUGAGGGUUUCGUGUUCGUGAGUAUGGUGUAUGGGCUUUGUUGGUGAAUGCAUCAUUUGCAGGUUAUGAACAUGCAAAUGGCCUCUAGGGAAAUGUGUAAUGAAAAGAACGUUGGAAGCGAUAGAAGUUUUCGUGGUUGUCAGGAAGAAUAAUAACUAAAAAGUCAUCGAACCAUUCGCACAGUGAAAACACCAUACACUACAUAACAUAAUUGUUUGGAAAUUUGACAUAUUUUGAUUGUCAUACAGUUUCCCCAAGGCCCAUAGACACUUUGAGAAAUUAAUAAUUCUGCUUGAAGUACAUGCACAAAACCCGACCAUACUGAAUAUACCAAAUGGGAUCAACAGUGAAAACCACUUCAAAAGGUAUUCCAGAGUGUAAUGUAAGUAUGGAGUAUACAAAAGAAGUAACGACAAAUGAUAUCCAAGACAUGCAAGGUAAUGUGAUGUCACCAUCAAUGACAGCAGCUAAUAGUGUGUCCAAUGGUGGUAC